UGUUUGAGAAUUGUGUCUCUGGACAACCUCCCAAGCAGCUGCUUGAAAUAAAGCUAUCUACUCAAAGCAUCAAUUCUGUGUCUUGAGAGUGUUGGUGUAGAGGACCUCCCAGUAUUGAACUAAGCAGGGGCAUGCCCAGUUGGGCUCCUGCAACAAUUGGAGGUUCCACCAAGGUUCUGGGACAUUCCCAACUCCUGCCCAAGGAGGCCUAGGAUGGAGGAGCAGAGGCACGCCGACUAAAAAGCCGCUUAGAUUGCUGCGGUGAUAAGACCAGCGCCUUAAGGAGACGCCAAGCAUAUCUGCACUCUGCAGAAACAUGGACCAGGAAAGGGCUGAGUUGGCAAACACCACACCCACCACGCGAAACUUUGCGGUCAUCCAUCGGUUGUUAUGGCUCUGAAGUAGCAAGGACAACAUGACUGAUGCUCAAAAGUAAUUAACGAGAAUACCAAGACGCCCAAAAUGAAAUAGAAGACAAAAUGUACUUAUCUCUUAGUUCAAAAUGAAAGGGGAUGUUCUUGUGACCCAGUCUAUGGGACUCCCAGCGGCCUGGGCUGUGGUUCCUGAGAUGCUAAUUAGUAUGAUCUAAGCCGGAUGCGUGCAAAGUUUGCACUUUCGGAGGGUGGAUCAAGCUGUCGAUGGUCUGAAAGAAAACAUAUAAAAGUCACUGCCCCAGAAGGUCUUCUUAACAGUGUCAUUCACCAACUCUUGUCUCCGGAAUAUCUGCUCUUCCUACUCUAGAUUCUUUCUCGACUGGAAAGUCAUCUAUCAACAUCAGAGUGAUGGAAGUGCUCCAGCCACUGCCAGGGCCACAGCCCAUUCUUGCCAUAGUUCAUGGGCCUGUUCAUAAUCCCUACCCACUAUACUGGCACUGGUUCAUUCCUAAACAUUUACCACCGCUGAUGCAACCAAACUCAUUUCUUUACAAUCCCAGCACAAGCUCACAUCUCCUCGGGUGACAGGUCCUGUGCUCUGUGCAGGAUGAGCUCACCCCUUCAUUGAAUGGGAACAUGAUCAUCACAGGAAUGGAAUGGAAUGGUACCCGAAUUGCACAAAAUGGAUUCACAGCUGAUGAUUGUAUGGGUAUUUGUGCCAGAAAUGUUGAGCCUCCCCAUCCAGAUAAACAAGAGUAGACUGGAUCUAUGAUUGCUCAUCACCUCUGACACUCGUACCUACACCUGCCUGCUCAAAGCUUCAUUUAGGUUUCCCUCCAAUUCUCUUAGAUAUGGACCUUUUUUCUUCCUUUCUUUCAAGGCAACCUGAAGACACUUUGACCAAAAUGCAUGGGAUCCCAAAUUCACUUAUCAUUCUUUGAUGGAUCUCUGAAUAUUUCUCAGGUCUGCAAGGUUUAUGGUGCUCCCGCUUUGCUGAGAAGAUCUGUUUUUUCACUGUGUACCUAUGCCUUGUCUCAUUUUACUCCUCAUUCACCUGUCAUUUCACUCUUCUGCACAAAAUGUAUUGUUCACCUGUUGAAGCUGCUCAUCAUAGAAAUGCUUUUGUGAACUCCUCUUCCCCCUACAAUAAACCUCAUCUAUCUGCAUCAAAA